AAUUACUUUUUAAACUACAUAAUAUCCUUUUUUAAAAUUAGCAUUAUUUAUAAAAGCCAUUGUAUUAGCUGUCAGUUCAAACCAGAAAAUCUGAGCAUUAUCCAUUUUUCUUUAGCAAAAAGUGGUUGAUUCAAAACUUUUUUGUCAUUUCAUUUUCCCACCAGCUGUGUUUCAGGAAGUGAAGAUUCUCUGAGGCUUCCGUGAUGGAAUAGGACAUAGCACCUGUCUAAUAACUAGUCUUAUUCGGUUUCUGUGUCUCCAUUUUAUUAAAACCUAAACGACCGGCAGAGCCUACCUGCCUCGUUAACAGGUAUUCAUAGAAACGCACUUUAAAAUGACACUCGAAAAGCGUUGCAUCAGAACUACAGCUAUAACGACCACCUAAUUAGUAUCCACAAAGGGUCACAGAAUGGCUAAGGGGUUUUCUCAAUGUGAGCUUAUUACUCAACCUGCCAUACCCUGGGAGCAUCCCUGGGGAGCAAGAUGCCCCAUGGCCCUGCUGGCCCUAGAGGCUGCGAGGGAUGCAACUUUCAAACCAUACAACACCUGGUACCCCGGGUGGCAUUAUUCUAUUACUAUAUUCUCGGGCUGGUGGGAACUCUGGAAAUCUACUCCAACCGUUUCCUUUUAGCAGCAGUGAAACUGGUCUGGAUUGGUAACGUUCGGUGAUUCUGACGGCGCCAGCCAUCUGGAAAUAAAACUUUCAGGAAACAGCAAAGAACUGACGCCUAAAACUCAGACUUCAAAACCUUGCUAUUGAAACCAGGGAGUUAAAAACAAAGGACAGGCACCCUCUGGGUGCACUGAGUUCAUCCGCCUUGUGGACAUCCUCAGUGUACCAUCCCAGACAACCAAUCACACACCGAGAUCGAGAUCGAGGAGGACGAUGCUACACAGUCCCCAAGCCGGAGGGAACGCGCCCAGCGCUCAGAUUCUGGCCACCCACUGAGACAUGCACAGCAGACCAGAGCAGCCAGCUG